CUCUAAUGCCCGUUUUUCAGAAGAAAAAAGCUUGUGGGACUCCAGACCCUGAGCUCCGCUGCUGUACCUAGAAGCGGAGUCGAAACCACUUCCUCCCUGCCAGCCACCCAGACACGCGCUCCUGACGCACAGGGCCUUCUUGAGAGUGCAGUUUUACUUGCAGGUCGCCCUGGAGCUGUGCACAGGGCCUUCUUGAGAGUGCAGUUUUACUUGCAGGUCGCCCUGGAGCUGUGCACAGGGCCUUCUUGAGAGUGCAGUUUUACUUGCAGGUCGCCCUGGAGCUGUUUCGGGGCGGUGAGUGGUAACUGGGGAGUGGAUCAGCUUGUGGCUCCCCCACCCAGCAGGAAACCAAAACAGUGCAGUAUCGAAUUUGGCUGAAAUAUUUAUGUGUGGAGAGAAGGAUUCCUUUGCCCACAUGCUUGUUCGGUGGAGAAGUUAGCCUGAUGUCCAGCACAUUCCCGUUACCAGCUGAGACUUUGCUUACUCCGUGUCUGGACAUAAAUUACAGCUCUAGGCCUAGGGGAAAAUGUUUACAUCGUCUGAGGAACACGGGCUUAAGGCUGAGGCUGAUUCCAGGGGAGUUGUUUUACAUCAGUAUAAGUUGUAGAUGAUGGUAGUCACAAAAAUAAAUCUUGUUUAUAUAUACAAAUGAGCUCUGGAGUAGAGUGACAAUCCUCCCUCCCCAACACCACUAAAAAGUGAAAAUAGUUUGAGCUCCACUGCCACAAUUAUUUUAAUAUUACAAAUCUCUGCUUUGCAUUAGUUUUAGCAGACUAUCAGUGUCUUUAUUAAUGAAAUAAAAUCUUAUGUAUUCAUUUC